UUUUGCGAAACAGCGUCUGAUCUUGGAAACUAAGCAGGGCCGUGCCUGGUUAGUCCUUGGAUGGGAGACCUACUUGGAAGACCAGGGGCCGCAAGCU
rnacentral:rRNA from 12 species